rnacentral:rRNA from 1 species
CCUACGGGAGGCUGCAGUGGGGAAUAUUGCGCAAUGGGCGAAAGCCUGACGCAGCGACGCCGCGUGCGGGAUGAAGGUCUUCGGAUCGUUAACCUCUGUCAGCAGGGAAGAACGGUCACUGUGCUAAUCAGCAGUGAAUUGACGGUACCUGCAAAGGAAGCCCAGGCUAACUCCGUGCCAGCAGCCGCGGUAAUACGGAGGGGGCGAGCGUUAUCCGGAUUCACUGGGUGUAAAGGGAGCGGAGACGGCCAUGCAAGCCAGGGGUGAAAGCCCGGGGCCCAACCCCGGGACUGCCCUUGGAACUGGAUGGCUGGAGUGCGGGAGGGGCAGGCGGAAUUCCUGGUGUAGCGGUGAAAUGCGUAGAUAUCAGGAGGAACACCGGCGGCGAAGGCGGCCUGCUGGACUGCGACUGACGUUGAGGCUCGAAAGCGUGGGGAGCGAACAGGAUUAGAUACCCUUGUAGUC